UCAACAUGAUGGCUGGAGUGCUCAGGAAUGGUGAUGCAUGUAUGCUGGUUCCGGGGCGACGUCCUGCGCUGUUCCGGCUCCUGCGGAGUGGCAGGGGCCCUGUCCCCGAGGACCGAGGGGCGGGAAUGUGUGCGGUCCCCUUGUGCAGCCAUAGUGGGGGCCGGAGCCAAUGUUGUGUUGGCGGUGCUGGGCGGAGCCUGGAGGGGCGGAUUGAGGAACAUAGGGCGGACAUUGCCACUGGUAGACUUGCCACUGCCCUCGCAAUGAAGAGCUGCGAACGGGAUAUCGAUGUCCAUUGGUCGCAGGCCCAGGUUGUUGGAC
rnacentral:lncRNA from 1 species